AUACGCAGUAUUGGGUUGCACGUUCCGACAAAAACAACCCUGAUAUCAUUAAGCCAGUAAAAUAAAAAUAUUAAUUUCUCAGAAAAAAACCUAUUAUUUUCUUACGCAUCAGUAUUCUAUUCACGUAUUUCCUCUGCGCGCGUCUUGUUGAGACAAAAAAUAAUAGAAUGAGUCACCAGUGGAAGAUAUAAACACCAAGAGUAAAAAAGAUACUCGAGCAGAUGUACGAAUACCAGAGAAAGGUGAAUCUUUAUCUUCUAUCUUUUGUUUUCAUUUUCUCUCUCUUUAUACCAGAAGAUCCAAGAUCUUGACAACAUCACCUCCUCUGACCUGGUUGAUCCACUUACAAGUGUUUUGGUAGCAGAUUUAGCGGUUGCAGCCUGUAGCACCAGAACUCGUUUGAACAACAAAGCGGCAGCUGAACGUUUGACGCCUGUACCUGAUUCAAUUCAUCCAUUUUCCACAAUGCUAACACAGUGCAUCAAAGUAAAUAAAAGCCAGGUGAUAGCUAAACGGCCUAGCUGUUCGUCGAGUUUGGGGACACGCGUGAUGUUCUUCUUAACAGUAUAAUUGGAUUUACUGCCGUGAGAAGGGGACUAGAGCCUGUCGUGUUGGCAGUAGGACUGGCGUUUAGGGACAGGGUAACUUCCCUUUUCCUGAAACGCACGAAAAGCGCCCUGGAUAUGCUAUAUGCACAGACACAGGCAAGCAAGUUCUAUCCUUCAAUGCCAUGUUAAUUAAAGGAUAUUUUCAAAGAUAACUAUGGCGAAUCAUCUUUUUAAUAAACGAGUCUUGAAAAUGUUUCAUUUUUGACAACAAUUAAAGUUGCAGUGAAAAACGGAACCUACGAAGAACGAAAUGAGAAUUUGAAUCUUGAUCGAAAAAAGUUAACUAAUGAUUUGUAUUGUUAGUAAACAGUCGAGUAUUGAUUUAGCUUUUUUUUUCUGGAUCGUCCGGGGCAUACAGUUCUCCUGCUUUUUGUACACCCUAGUGAUAUCUAACUGACUAACAAAAACGACUUUGAGUUUUGAGAUGUGUCAGUCUCGCUGGAAGGGAAAUGCAAAGGUAUGAGAGAAAUUACCAGUAAAUGUACAUCACAUGUUCUUAAAAUCUGCCUCCGGAUCGACUUCUUUUUUAUGUAUAUAUCUUUAAAGCUAGUUAAUAAUAUAUUUUGUAUUGCCAUUGAAUCUAAUUGAAAUUGCUGAAACAAUUUUAAGCCAGGUAAUAAAAUUAGAAAAAAAAUGAAGCAAAAAACUUUUUUUAAAGUAGGAAAAACAAUGAAAUCAAUUCUCUUUCCUACCAGUACAGUGCAAAUAAAGCAUAUCUAAAGACAAGAUUGCGUGAUAUGGAUACCAACUGAGCAAGAAAGGAAGACCUUUGUUGAAAUAAUGUUUCUUUUAUAUUUAUGGUAUUUACG